rnacentral:rRNA from 1 species
GAGUUUGAUCAUGGCUCAGAUUGAACGCUGGCGGUAUGCUUAACACAUGCAAGUCGAACGGUAACAGGAGAGAGCUUGCUCUUUUGCUGACGAGUGGCGGACGGGUGAGUAAUGCGUAGGAAUCUGCCUAGUAGUGGGGGACAAUGUGUGGAAACGCACGCUAAUACCGCAUACGCCCUACGGGGAAAGCGGGGAGUCUUCGGACCUCGCGCUAUUAGAUGAGCCUACGUUAGAUUAGCUAGUUGGUGGGGUAAAGGGCCGUACCAAGGCGACGAUCUAUAGCUGGUCUGAGAGGAUGAUCAGCCACACUGGGACUGAGACACGGCCCAGACUCCUACGGGAGGCAGCAGUGGGGAAUAUUGGACAAUGGGCGAAAGCCUGAUCCAGCAAUACCGCGUGUGUGAAGAAGGCCUGAGGGUUGUAAAGCAC